rnacentral:lncRNA from 1 species
GCCUUUUCCCGCAAAAGCUGCGGAGGGAGGGCGCGGUGCGGCGGAAGACAAAGGAGCGGAGAGGCACUCACCCGCCGAGCCGGAGGAAGACACUCUCCUGCGAGGCUCCGGCUGGGGCGGCGCGGGCCGCUCGGUGCCGGGGGACGGCGUGCUGGCGGCGGACGAGGAGGAGGAGGAGGCGGCGGGCUGUGGCAGGCACCAGGCGGGCUGCAGCGGCUCGGGCGCGGGCUCGGGCGCGGCGGGGCGGGGCGGCUCGGCAGGGCUGCUGCGAUCCUGCGGCGGCGAGGGCCGCUCCUGCGUGGCCACGAUGGGCUUCCUCUCCAUCACCUCCAGCUGCUCGUCGAAGUCCUCGUCUUCCUCUUCUUCUUCCUCCUCCUCGUCUUCCUCCUUCUCGUCGUCCAGCACGAACUGGUAGUUAAACUGAGGCUGCUGCGGCCGCGGGGGCCCGGAGGAGGAGAUCAGGGGCGACUGGUCUAGCUCGUCCAUGGUGCCUGGAGCGGGCGGAACAAUGAGCGCGGCGCCGGGGCUGCGCCUCUGCCGGCUGAGGGGGGAGGACGCGGGCUGCGCUGCGGGACCGGUUCCACGCCCUGGCACUUCCUGUUCUGGACUUGUUU